rnacentral:rRNA from 1 species
CUACGUGCCAGCAGCCGCGGUAAUACGGAAGGUCCAGGCGUUAUCCGGAUUUAUUGGGUUUAAAGGGAGUGUAGGCGGUUUGUUAAGCGUGUUGUGAAAUUUAGGUGCUCAACAUUUAACUUGCAGCGCGAACUGUCAGACUUGAGUACACGCAACGUAUGCGGAAUUCAUGGUGUAGCGGUGAAAUGCUUAGAUGUCAUGAAGAACUCCGAUUGCGAAGGCAGCAUACGGGAGUGUAACUGACGCUUAAGCUCGAAGGUGCGGGUAUCGAACAGGAUUAGAUACCCUGGUAGUCCGCACAGUAAACGAUGGAUGCCCGCUGUUAGCGCCUGGCGUUAGCGGCUAAGCGAAAGCAUUAAGCAUCCCACCUGGGGAGUACGCCGGCAACGGUGAAACUCAAAGGAAUUGACGGGGGCCCGCACAAGCGGAGGAACAUGUGGUUUAAUUCGAUGAUACGCGAGGAACCUUACCCGGGCUUGAAUUGCAGAGGAAUUAUUUAGAGAUA